CCUACGUGCGGCAGCAGUGGGGAAUAUUGGACAAUGGGCGAAAGCCUGAUCCAGCCAUGCCGCGUGUGUGAAGAAGGCCUUCGGGUUGUAAAGCACUUUCAGUGGGGAAGAAAGCCUUGGGGCUAAUACCCUCGAGGAAGGACAUCACCCACAGAAGAAGCACCGGCUAACUCCGUGCCAGCAGCCGCGGUAAUACGGAGGGUGCGAGCGUUAAUCGGAAUUACUGGGCGUAAAGCGCGCGUAGGCGGUCUGAUAAGCCGGUUGUGAAAGCCCCGGGCUCAACCUGGGAACGGCAUCCGGAACUGUCAGGCUAGAGUGCAGGAGAGGAAGGUAGAAUUCCCGGUGUAGCGGUGAAAUGCGUAGAGAUCGGGAGGAAUACCAGCGGCGAAGGCGGCCUUCUGGACUGACACUGACGCUGAGGUGCGAAAGCGUGGGUAGCAAACAGGAUUAGAUACCCCAGUAGUC
rnacentral:rRNA from 1 species